UGCCCCAUAGCUCAAUGGCGGAGCGAUCGCCUGUUAAGCGAAGGGUUGUAGGUUCGAGUCCUACUGGGGCAGCCA
rnacentral:tRNA from 1 species